rnacentral:rRNA from 1 species
UACGAAGGGGGCUAGCGUUGCUCGGAAUCACUGGGCGUAAAGGGUGCGUAGGCGGGUCUUUAAGUCAGGGGUGAAAUCCUGGAGCUCAACUCCAGAACUGCCUUUGAUACUGAAGAUCUUGAGUUCGGGAGAGGUGAGUGGAACUGCGAGUGUAGAGGUGAAAAUUCGUAGAUAUUCGCAAGAACACCAGUGGCGAAGGCGGCUCACUGGUCCGGUACUGACGCUGAGGUGCGAAAGCGUGGGGAGCAAACAGG